rnacentral:rRNA from 1 species
CCCUUAGAUGUUCUGGGCCGCACGCGCGCUACACUGAUGCAUUCAACGAGUUUCUUCCUGGUCCGAGAGGAAUGGGUAACCUUUUGAAAGUGCAUAGUGAUAGGGAUAGACUAUUGCAAUUAUUGGUCUUCAACGAGGAAUUCCUAGUAGACGUAGUUCAUCAGACUGCAUCGAUUACGUCCCUGCCCUUUGUACACACCGCCCGUCGCUCCUACCGAUUGAAUGCUCAGGUGAGCCAUUCGGACUUUCAUCAUGCUGGUUUCCAGUUUUGAUGAAGGAAAGUCUUGCGAACCUUAUCAUUUAGAGGAAGGAGAAGUCGUAACA